rnacentral:lncRNA from 1 species
CACAGGGUGCGUUUUAUUUUGAAAGCAACUUUUAUGCACGGCUGUCAAAAAUAAAAUUGACAUUUAAAAAAAAACACUUUUAGAACUGUUGCAAACAUUUAACCCUCCUGUUGUGUUCUGGGUCAAAUCGACCCGUUUAGACCUUUUUUCCUGUGCAGAAAUUUCUCCUGCAUGGAUUAUUUAGUGAAAUGAAAGAUUUCAACCUACAGAUGGAAACAAAUAUCCGUGCUGUUCCUCAGAAACGAACACAAACUUUUAUAAACGGGAACAAAGACAGAAAUAAAGUUGUUUUUUCUAAGCAAAGAAGCCGUUUUUGUUUUUGUUUUUAGCAUUAAAGGUUGUAGAAUCCUGGUUUAGAUCAUAGUACUUCAAGUUUAUCAUUUCUUUUGCAUGCACUGUACUGUAUUUUACUUUACUGCCGUGAUUUUCUGUCCCAGUGGAGGAAGUGAGCCCGUGUGGGUGGAGGGCCCAGUCGUCACAUGCAGAAGUGAAACAGGACAGAGGAAGAGAAGUCAAACUUCUGAACCGGCCAUCUAUGAAGAGCUGAGAGACGUGCAAAAAGAGGCAGAAAGAAAGACGGUCCUCGGUGUCAUGUUGGCGGAAGGUUUUUUGGCAUCACUGCCCUACAGGGAGGAGAAACGGUUUGCCUCCAAGCAGAAGAGAUGUCAGACGAGCGCUCAUGGCGUGAACCCGCUGACGUGUGCAGCUUCUUACUCCAGGUCUGCGCUGCCACAGAUGCUUUCAGCCGAAGCAGGCCCAAACUUGGAAGAUUUAAGCUCAGCCCAGAGACGGAGAGUGCCUCCUCAGCCACCGGGCCUCUUCAUCCCUGGGUACUUACCUGCACCAACCCCAAAUCUCGUCUGCAUUGAGAACUGCAGCCUCCUGGACCAGUAUCCAGACCUACAGGUGGCCGAUUCUGGUCGCAUCUCCCACAAUCCACUGAGAGCCGACUCAAGCCAGCAGGACUCCUGCUACCCUGCGGUGCAUUUUAAGCCAGAGGUCUAUGCUGGUUCAGCUGUGUCCAUCCCAGACCAGGGUUAUCUGGUCAUGGGGGGCACUCAGAGCAUCAGCCUGGACGCGAACGAACCAGGGUUGGAGCCCAUGUCCAACUCCGUGCUGAACGGACUGCUGGAAAAGAAGCUGGAGGAGGUUUACAUGCAGCAUCUGACGGAUAAUUUAGCUCGAUGCAACUCCCACCUGGAGAACAGCCUCCUGCACGGCCUGGUGCCCCCGCCCCAGCCCGGUUCCCAAGAACCUUACUCACUUGAGAACAGCAUGGAUCAAGGUCCACAAAGAGGCAGCGGUGACAAAAUAAGUUAUCUGAGCACCCAGAAUGUUGCUCCCUCCUCAAACUUCAGCUCCCCAGUGUUGAGGAUUUCUGAAGCUGAAAAUCCACAUCUGCAGGCAAACGUCCUCCUAAAGUAUUGAAUAUGCUCGACCAGGGAUUCUGCACGGUCACUCAUAUGUACCCGAGAAAUGAAAUUAAGUGUAAUUCCAUGUUGCAGCUCUGUUUUAUGCAUGAUGAAGUGAUGCCUCAAACUCAGCUGGUUCCAUGCGCCACCUGCUGUCGAAGUGUGGGACUACAGGAUUUUUACAGCUUGUUCUUAGUCACUUCCAGCCUAUUUCUAUUUUCACCCUUGUGCUAUCCUAGGCACGUUAACAUUUGGAGUUGGGUCAUCUAGACCCACUAGACAGUGCUCUGAACCUUUUUUCUUCAAUGAUUUGUGAUCUUCACUGGUGUCCAUGGAUUACAUGAAAUCUUUCCACCUUUAUCCACCUUUGUCAUGGUAGGGAGAACACGUCAAUGGAAGGGGGGGUCAUCUAAGAUAGCACAAGGGUUAAACUUCAAUUAAAACAAAAACAAAUAAUUUUUAAAUAUUUUUUUAUUUUAAAUCUGAAAUGUUAUUUUCCCCAAAUCAUGUAAAGUUAAAGAGUUAAAAUGAGAUCAAUUUGAUGAGGGAGACACCUCAGAGGUCUAAAACUACAGUCCGUUUCCCACCACAAGUCUUCAAAUGUCAGGAAAGAAACGUUUCAAACAAAUUGUCACAAAUCUGUUCUUUACAACUAAAAAUAAAGCUCAUAAAACCAACCUGUUGCAGUCGGUUUUGGUGUUUGAACACAUGAAUGUCUGCCAGGUAAGAACUGUCUUUGUGGUGCGCAACAAGUAUGUCGAUCAUUGAAUCAACGUUUGAUCUCAUUUUCAAACCAUGUCCAUUUUUUUAAAGUGUAAUAACAAAAAAAGUAAAAAAAUUUAAAUUGAGAAAUAGAUUUUCAGCCCAAAAGGACCACAAAAUUCCUUAGUGGUGUUCUCAAUUGACCACUACAUAACCUUUUUAUGUCUUUUAGUAAAAGCCUCUCCCAAUCUAAACAUGUUUCGUGGGAUCAAUAAGAUUAAUAGUUUCAUUAUAAAAGCGGAAAACAGUCAAGUUUGCCUUUUCCUUUACAUUUUAGAAGAUUUUUUACAAAAUAAGGUUUUGUUUUGCAAAAAAAACAAAAA